UACGUAGGGUGCGAGCGUUAAUCGGAAUUACUGGGCGUAAAGCGUGCGCAGGCGGUUCGUUGUGUCGGCGGUGAAAGCCCCGGGCUCAACCUGGGAAUGGCCGUUGAAACUGGCGAACUGGAGUGUGGCAGAGGGGGGUGGAAUUCCGCGUGGUAGCAGUGAAAUGCGUAGAGAUGCGGAGGAACACCGAUGGCGAAGGGCAGCCCCCUGGGCUGACACUGACGCCUCAGGCACGAAAGCGCUGGG
rnacentral:rRNA from 1 species